UAGCUAGUUGGUGAGGUAACGGCUUACCAAGGCGACGAUCUGUAGCGGGUCUGAGAGGAUGAUCCGCCACACUGGAACUGAGACACGGUCCAGACUCCUACGGGAGGCAGCAGUGGGGAAUUUUGGACAAUGGGGGCAACCCUGAUCCAGCCAUGCCGCGUGAGUGAAGAAGGCCUUCGGGUUGUAAAGCUCUUUCGGCCGGGAAGAAAUCGCAUGGGCCAAUACCCUGUGUGGAUGACGGUACCGGAAUAAGAAGCACCGGCUAACUACGUGCCAGCAGCCGCGGUAAUACGUAGGGUGCGAGCGUUAAUCGGAAUUACUGGGCGUAAAGCGUGCGCAGGCGGUUUUGUAAGACAGGCGUGAAAUCCCCGGGCUCAACCUGGGAACUGCGUUUGUGACUGCAAGGCUAGAGUACGGCAGAGGGGGGUGGAAUUCCACGUGUAGCAGUGAAAUGCGUAGAGAUGUGGAGGAACACCAAUGGCGAAGGCAGCCCCCUGGGUCGAUACUGACGCUCAUGCACGAAAGCGUGGGUAGCAAACAGGAUUAGAUACCCUGGUAGUCCACGCCCUAAACUAUGUCAACUAGGUGUUGGGUGGGUAAAACCAUUUAGUACCGUAGCUAACGCGUGAAGUUGACCGCCUGGGGAGUACGGCCGCAAGGUUAAAACUCAAAGGAAUUGACGGGGACCCGCACAAGCGGUGGAUGAUGUGGAUUAAUUCGAUGCAACGCGAAAAACCUUACCUACCCUUGACAUGCCAGGAACUUGCCAGAGAUGGCUUGGUGCCCGAAAGGGAGCCUGGACACAGGUGCUGCAUGGCUGUCGUCAGCUCGUGUCGUGAGAUGUUGGGUUAAGUCCCGCAACGAGCGCAACCCUUGUCGUUAAUUGCCAUCAUUUAGUUGGGCACUUUAGCGAGACUGCCGGUGACAAACCGGAGGAAGGUGGGGAUGACGUCAAGUCCUCAUGGCCCUUAUGGGUAGGGCUUCACACGUCAUACAAUGGUCGGUACAGAGGGUCGCCAAGCCGCGAGGUGGAGCCAAUCCCAGAAAGCCGAUCGUAGUCCGGAUUGCAGGCUGCAACUCGCCUGCAUGAAGUCGGAAUCGCUAGUAAUCGUGGAUCAGCAUGUCACGGUGAAUACGUUCCCGGGUCUUGUACACACCGCCCGUCACACCAUGGGAGCGGGUUCCGCCAGAAGUAGGUAGCCUAACCGCAAGGAGGGCGCUUACCACGGCGGGGUUCGUGGCUGGGGUGAAGUCGUAACAAGGUAGCCGUAGGGGAACCUGCGGCUG
rnacentral:rRNA from 1 species